CCUACGGGAGGCAGCAGUGGGGAAUAUUGCACAAUGGGGGAAACCCUGAUGCAGCGACGCCGCGUGAGUGAGGAAGUAUUUCGGUAUGUAAAGCUCUAUCAGCAGGGAAGAAAAUGACGGUACCUGAGUAAGAAGCCCCGGCUAACUACGUGCCAGCAGCCGCGGUAAUACGUAGGGGGCAAGCGUUAUCCGGAUUUACUGGGUGUAAAGGGCGUGUAGACGGGUAAUCAAGUCAGAAGUGAAAACCCAGGGCUCAACCUGUGGACUGCAUUUGAAACUGUGUAGCUGGAGUGCGGGAGAGGCAAGCGGAAUUCCGAGUGUAGCGGUGAAAUGCGUAGAUAUUAGGAGGAACACCAGUGGCGAAGGCGGAUUGCUGGACAGUAACUGACGUUGAGGCGCGAAAGCGUGGGGAGCAAACAGGAUUAGAUACCCGAGUAGUC
rnacentral:rRNA from 1 species